UACGUAGGUGGCAAGCGUUAUCCGGAAUUACUGGGCGUAAAGCGCACGCAGGCGGCCUUUUAAGUUUGACGUGAAAGCUCCUGGCUUAACCGGGAGAGGUCGUUGAAGACUGGAAGGCUUGAGACGAUGAGAGGGGUGCAGAAUUCCCGGUGUAGUGGUGGAAUGCGUAGAUAUCGGGAGGAAUACCAGUGGCGAAGGCGGCACCCUGGCAUCGGUCUGACGCUCAUGUGCGAAGGCGUGGGGAGCGAAC
rnacentral:rRNA from 1 species